rnacentral:rRNA from 1 species
AUUGAACGCUGGCGGCAUGAUUUACACAUGCAAGUCGAACGGUAACAGGCCGCAAGGUGCUGACGAGUGGCGAACGGGUGAGUAAUGCAUCGGAACGUGCCCAGUCGUGGGGGAUAACUACUCGAAAGAGUAGCUAAUACCGCAUACGAUCUAUGGAUGAAAGCGGGGGACCGUAAGGCCUCGCGCGAUUGGAGCGGCCGAUGUCAGAUUAGGUAGUUGGUGGGGUAAAGGCUUACCAAGCCAACGAUCUGUAGCUGGUCUGAGAGGACGACCAGCCACACUGGGACUGAGACACGGCCCAGACUCCUACGGGAGGCAGCAGUGGGGAAUUUUGGACAAUGGGCGCAAGCCUGAUCCAGCAAUGCCGCGUGCAGGAAGAAGGCCUUCGGGUUGUAAACUGCUUUUGUACGGAACGAAACGGCUCUGGUUAAUACCCGGGGCUAAUGACGGUACCGUAAGAAUAAGCACCGGCUAACUACGUG